rnacentral:lncRNA from 1 species
GGGAGCUGUAGAGAGCAAUGAGGUCUCCCCUGAGCGUCCUCUUCUCCGGACUAAACAACCCCAGUGCCCUCAGCCGAACCUCACAGGACCUGUGCAGGGUCAUAGAGCAGGCAUUGAGCCAGAGCUUCCCCUGCAAGAUCCGUUUUGACUGGGGAUUAUCUGGGGUCUCUUGGGAAAGAGCACAGUGUGCUGACAACUCGCAAGGGAUUCAUCCUAAUUUUGUUCUUCUCUCUUUUUUUCCCUACUGCUGCUGCUGCUUCUCCCCAUGUGCAGUCAUAGCUGAUGAGCUGGAGCUGAGUCUGACCGACGGGCCCGACCGCUGUGCAGGCAAUGUGGAAAUCGACUAUUUUGGAAUGAGCGCAAAAGUGUGUGGCUUCCAGUGGGACAUGAACGAUGCUCAGGUUGUGUGCAGGCAGCUUGGCUGCGGCUCACCUGUCAGCGUGAUGGAGUAUUUCUCCUCGAGCGAUUCAUAUCCAUGGUACCAGAGGACCGCGGUGGCUUGUGACGGCUCUGAAACCUCUUUGCUGUUUUGCCCUUCUGACUACGUGUCCUCCGAAUGCCAACACGGGACUGCUUCUGUCAUCUGCUCAGAUUCGGGAUUCCGAGUGCAAAAUGGUAAGCAGAGAUUUCUCUUUGUAUCCAUGUUAUUGGGGGGGUGCUCUGUGUCCAUCAAAGCAAAAGACUCAGGUGUGGGCUGCAGUUAA